rnacentral:rRNA from 1 species
CAGCCGCCGCGGGAAUACGGAGGGUGCAAGCGUUAAUCGGAAUUACUGGGCGUAAAGCGCACGCAGGCGGUCUGUCAAGUCAGAUGUGAAAUCCCCGGGCUUAACCUGGGAACUGCAUUUGAAACUGGCAGGCUAGAGUCUUGUAGAGGGGGGUAGAAUUCCAGGUGUAGCGGUGAAAUGCGUAGAGAUCUGGAGGAAUACCGGUGGCGAAGGCGGCCCCCUGGACAAAGACUGACGCUCAGGUGCGAAAGCGUGGGGAGCAAACAGGAUUAGAUACCCGCGUAGUCCCUGUCUCUUAUAC